GCUGGUGGCUGCUUCUGGGGGCUCCCCAGGGCCCAGCUCCAUUCCAGCGGGGGCCGUGGCAGCUACCGCAGAGGGACUGUCCCAUCACCCUGCCAGCACGGAGCAACUCACAGCCUGCUGUCUUGUAUGGCUUUUUAUUCCUAUGUGAUUAUACAUCCCACUUCAUAUAGGGAUUGAAGCCGUGCAAUACGCCGGGGUCCUACGGCGGAGAGCAGCUCCUGUGCCGUGGGAGCCAGACUCGAAGGAGCCUCCAGAGCUGUCCCCUGGGGUGCUGGAGGAAGACUGCUGGCCUCAGCCUGGACUCUGUCCUUCUUCCCAGGCUACCCAACCCUCUUGGGCUGCAGGUGAGGGGUGCCAAGAUGCUUGGGGUGAGGCCAGCACAAGCCCACUCCUCCUUGCACUGCACCCUCUUGCAAAGGUGGGCCUGGUUCUGCACCACGUGUGCUGUGGAGAGACCUGGUAACUGUCCUGAUGGGCUCAUCUCUGGGGAACCUGCUUCUUUGGUUUUGGCCCCCAGUAUCCCAGGAGAUGGGUGACAACCUCUGGGUGCAGCACUCAAGGAGGCACUGCUGGCAGGACAGGGGAGGAGGAAGAGGAAGAAGAGGAAAAAUGAGCUGAGGAAUGGCCACCAGAGAAGGGCUGCCCCAAGCACAACUCUCUUCAAAGUUUCUCAUGAGGCUUCAGCCACUCUUUCAAGGUUUGCGUUAAAUCUGUCACAUUAGCGAAAAUAGUGAAAAUUGUGGCUUGUAGAGGAGAUGAAAGGCAGCCCCUUCCCAUGCCUCCAUAAAGGAAGGGCCCCAUUAACACCUAGUGAAAUAUUAGCCAUUAAUCAGGCUCUGUGCAAAAUAAAACCAUCCACAUUUAUCAUUAUUGGAUCCCUAAUGAAGUGAUAAUGGAAAUGCUGGGGAGCUGUGAUAUUAAUGUCUUCUAAGAGGCAAGAGCAGAGCCAAGGGCGGCAGCCAAGAUUUUUAAUUUACUGCCAAAAGCUCGUGCUGUUAAUAACGCAGUUACUUCUCCUGGCCAUUAGCACUGUUUGGCUACGAGCUGCCAGCUUAGGGGAGCAAAUCGACCCUGAACGUACCUGGGCUUUGCUCACUCACUCCCCAGCCAGCAUCUGGGGAUGCUUCUCCCAGUGACUGUCCUAGUGUCCCCUGCCCAUGUCCAGGGACAUGGCCCAGGAGCUGUUGGCCAUCUCCACCCAGAUCUCUCCUGGAGGCUGGCUGGUAUAGAAAGUUUUGCUUUUCUGAUAGAAAAGAAAGGGACUGGGAGCAUCAAACCCAAGUGGCUCUUACUGUCCUCAUUCUCUCUGUGACUUGUUGCCUUAGGCAGAAGCACCCUGGAGCCAGGAUGGCAUGGAGCUGUUCCCAGCACAGCCUGCACACUGGGAUCAUGGGCUGUGACCAUGGCUGGACUCUGGGUUUCUUCACUUGCCUGGGUUCACUCCCAUGAUGCCAAUAUCCCAUCCAGGACAGCAUGGGCAAGCUGCAAAGCCCUGCUCAGCUGUGGUGACUCACUCAAGCUCCCAAUGGGAAAGUCAUCGUUCCUGGCAGGCCCUGACAGCCCAGAGGCAAAUCAUUACUAGGCAGGCAGUUGGAAAACAACACCACGAAAGCUCAUAGCGUACAUGCUGCUGGCACGGAGGCUCUCCCAUCAGGGAUCAGCAGGGAAGAUGUUCCUGUGGAGGGAAGGAGGCUGGAGGAGCCACUGCACUUUGUUCAUCCCCUUCCUUAAGUGAAGAGGGACCUCUCAUGAUCUCUCCAAGGCUCUAAUUAAAAUGGCCUGGAUGUCCAUGACAUUGGUGCCCGUCAAGCCUGUAACCAGGAGGUGAUGCCCACCUUGGAACUGGCUGAAGAAGGUGUAGGAGUCGUUGUUCCUGAGAAAAGCCUCCACAUCCAGGCCCUCCUGAAGCGCCUCAGCCACUAGCCCUGGGCUGCAGAAGGCUCCUGCUGCCUCCGUUGGCCCAUCCUGCCCAUCUGUUCCCCCGCUGAAGAAGAUGAUCUCACACCUCCCUUGGGGGCUGCUGCCUUCCAUGGCCUGUGCCCUGUGCAGCCCCAGCCCCACGCGCAGGGCCAGCUCCUGGUUCCUCCCUCCCUUGCCGCUCCCUUGAAGCUGGACUGUGGUUUCUCCACCAGCCAGGAUGCAGACUGGCCUUUCAGGCCCUAAUCCUCGCAGAGCCUGUAGAAACUUGGCAAGGUCCAAACCUGGGAUCUCCAGCUCUGCCGCCAGCUGCAGGACAUUGCCCCUCACCUCAUCACCGAGGGGUUCUUCUGUGCGGCCGGCGAGGCCCAGGCAGACCAGCCGGAUCAGCUGGCAGUACAGCGUGGAGACAAUGCCAACCUCCCCACGGAUUGCUGCACUCAGAACCAGAGCUGCGUAGCCCAGGCUCUCAGCGUGGUGUUUGGCCUCGUCUAAAGCCAGAGUAUUUGACCCAAUGAUGAUGUUGGAAACGUGGGAGUAGUUUUCUGGAGCGGUGGGCUUGGUGGGAGAGCUGGAGAGAACCGUUUCCACUGACUUGGGCAGGUUGUGCAGCAGGUUGUAUUUGGCAAGUACCUGAAGGCAGUCUUGGACACUGUGGGAGUUUGCAGCAGUGGGCCCACUUGCUAUAAUAUCCAGGGGGUCACCAAUCACAUCAGACAGGAUGAGACUCACCACCUACGGAAAGAAAUGCUCAUAGAUUAUUGCAGGAGGCAGAGACAGGUGACUACACAAGAGCCCUGGCAUAAGUAUUGCUCUGAGUUACACUUGCAGUACCCCCACAUCAAAGCAGAUGGAAACAGGGCAGGGAAAUUUUGUUUUAUGGUCCUGUGAGCGUCACCUUGCCCUUCUUGAACCCACAGAUCUACAGUCUUCUUUGAUGCUGGACCAUCACUUUGGAAGAUGUAACCUGUGACACUGCACUUGUCAGGCUCAGCAUAGUGUGGGUUCAGUGAUGGCACAUGCUGAGAACAGCCCCCAGGGGAGCCAAGGGUCAGAGCAAGACUUGAAAGUGCUGUGGUGAAGCACCAGAACUUGGAGAUGCCUGCAAAGUGUGGGCUGGGGUGUGCUGAGAGUGGUGUGAUGAUGGCUGAUGAUUGCCAAGCCUGAAUUCCCCCUGUUCCACCUCUGUCUCCCUGAGAGUUUGGGUCCUCAGUGAAAUCUCAGCUACAGAGUCCCAAAACAGCGUCCAAUGGUUGUUCACUUAGUAAGGAAAAAACCCUGCAAGCAUGCUUAGGUAAGUUGACUGAACCUCUGCUUUGGGGGUAGGUGGGUGAUCUGUGGGCAAGCAGGGCCUUCCCCGUGGUUACCUGUGCGGGAUACGCGAGCUGGGCCAGCCCUCCUCCCUUCAGCACGGACAGAGUCUUCCGGACAAUGUUCAGCUCCUGUAUGGCAGCUCCUCGGGAAGCCAGAAUCUUUGUGAGCUUCUCCUUCUCUUCAAGGAGGAUGGGAGGGAUGGGAGCAGGCAGCAGGGCUGAUCCACCCCCUAGGAUGCAGAAGAGAUGGCAAGGACAUCAGGAUAGUGGGAAAAGGAGGACAGAAGAGAGCAAGGCUUGAGCUUUUCCUCUUCCCUCACUAGUGUGUGGAGGGAAGGCAAUUGGGGACCUAAGCUAACAUCUCUGGAGAAUUCAGUCUUCACCAAUGGGUUUUAAUAACUGUUGUCCUGCAGUCUCUGCAGUCUGCUAUGCUUCAUCUGGCAGUGUAAACCAUGCCAGACUGGGAUACCACAUGCCUUCAAUGUUGUGGGGAUGACAGAAAAGGGACAGCAACUACUAUCACCACUACUCUGGGCUACCAAUGUGUCCUCACACUGAUAUUCACCUGGAGGCGUGAGCAGGGAGCACAGCAUCCAUAGCUCACACAGCAGUCUGUGCUAUGCACAUGGAGACACUGCCUGCUUUGGUGGCUCCAUUUAUUCAGGACACUGAGUAAAAAAAAACAAACAAAAACCCCCUAUCAACUAUGGAUGCAGCAAGACUGGAAACCCCUGAACUGUGCUCAUCUUGGUCUGGGAGGAAAGGAAGGGGAAGACAGUAAUGCAAAGGACAAAGCACACCCUGAGUCCAGGGGUCCAGCCUCAACAAUGGAAAUCCUGUCUGAUACAAGCAGGCAUUGGAAACAUGGAAAAGAAGGCAAGGUUCUAAUGGAAAAGUGGAUGGAAAAUACAGAGGAGAAAAGAGCAAGAUCUCAGCAGAGAGAACACGCACAGAAGUACAGCUGAAAGAUACUGUCAAAAGGCAAAGCCUGCUCAGAGGUUUGAGACAAAUCAGCAUCAAUAAAACAUGAU